GGUUGUGGUGUCAGUCCUGGCACUGGGAGCCCCUGUCCAUUAGAAUAGUGGGCAGGGGACUCCCAGUGCCCAAACUGCCACCACAACC